rnacentral:rRNA from 1 species
UACGGAGGGUGCAAGCGUUGUUCGGAAUUACUGGGCGUAAAGGGCGCGUAGGUGGUUGUGUAAGUCAGAUGUGAAAUCCUUAGGCUUAACCUGAGAACCGCAUCUGAUACUGCAUGACUUGAGUGCAGCAGAGGGAAACGGAAUUCCUGGUGUAGAGGUGAAAUUCGUAGAUAUCAGGAGGAACACCGGUGGCGAAGGCGGUUUCCUGGGCUGACACUGACACUGAGGCGCGAAAGCGUGGGUAGCAAACAGG